rnacentral:lncRNA from 1 species
GCGUUAAUUCGGUAAGUAUAAACAAAGAGACGAAAAACGACGUUAUGGGAUCGAAACCGGGUGUGAAAAAUUUAAAUUCGGAUUAUUUAUAUAAUUUGCGCACAAUCGAAACGUUACAUAAAAUCAAUCGACCGUGGUAAACGGAUCGAUACUGUUAGAAGGUGUAUCGAUAUUUUUGUGGCCUGGAGCGUUAAAGACAAACAAAAAGCGUACAGAACAGGAAGAUAUAGGAGAGAGAGAGAGAGAGAGCUACAGGUAUAUGGAAGACGGUGGUAAGUUGCUUAGCUGCUUUCACUGUCCUAGGACGGUGUCACGUGACUUUGUUUACGUUCGUCGCUUGCAACAACGACGAACGCUACUCCAAGUUUCGGACGCAGGCUCCGAUAAACUGCACAAAACGCAUUAUUUGAAGAUUAAAAGUCGACGUUUAAUAAUUUUAUUAGCAUCCCGAAACUAUUGUGUGGCGUAGAGCCCUAUCUGUGAUGACCCAAUUCCGUUGUUGCAAGCGACCCGACUAACCCACUUUCGCGCUUGCUCACUGUGGACGAAAGUGAAGUUGGCCGAAGCCUGGAAGCCCUUGUCCUUGAUUCAGCCGGCAUAACGCGUGUUAUAAUGCUAUAGGAUUUUCGUGUCUGGUCAACGUUCGAAUGUCCACUCUCCCUGGCAACCCGCCGACGCCUGACAGUGUGUUAACGAGAUACUGAGAAGACGUCACACAACGGACACACAACUAACUACUAACUCGCACAACACUCGGAUGGUGUGUGUACGGGGAAGGGACGCAAUGGAGACCGCGGCCGUACUCGUGUCUGUCAGUGAGGUAUUGUGAGUUGUACUCGCCCGAUUUUUUUUUUUAACCCCUGUUAACGUUUCGACCCGGUUCUACUAUGUGAUUUGGUAAUACAAGAUGAGCUGCGAACCCACCACCAGCACUGCAACUUCUACCGACGUAUCAGGUAGGUGUAUCUGACGUAUCGCGCUCUUGUGUAGUUUAUAUUGUUAUAUUAUAUUAUAUUAAUUGUGCAUAUCUAUAUACGGGCGUGUGACGUAACACUUUUACUGGGUUAAGGUGAAGGUAAAAAUAAAGGAGUUGCGUCGAGUGAGAAAAAACCACCGACCGCAUUCCACGUGAACUUGAUCGCACCCAUGCAGUCAGGUGCAUCUAUCCUACUUAUAAUCGAGUAUGUGGUGUGACGUUAAUGGUGAGAUCACAAUUAAACUCCGUGUCCCAUCCGUUUAAACACCAGGGAAAUGCCGCUACUCGUGUUAAUUAAAGAUAUUAACUGCGGAAUUGCUGCCUUGUGCUGUCUGUAGUGUUUUAACUGUUCGAGCGUAAUCGGUAACUCGGUAUUAGAUUUUAACCCUUUUAACACUAGUACGAGAAGCCGCUAUUGGAUUACACGUGCAGAAUGGGUCUUCUUUUGUAACGGUCAGAAACAAGAUGGCGUCUCUUCCGAGUCCAUCUAUGCGGGGCGGAGGGGGUGAAUUAUUAGAAUAUUUUUCCUCGUAUGAAGUUAGUUACCUGCAUAAUCAUAUACUUAAGUGUAGUCUGGGCACUGUAUCGCCAUUCCAACUUGUAAAUUUCCCCCUGUGUUAUAUUUUCAAUUUUUAACGUCGGCAGACGUUUAACAAAUUACCGACACGAGAGGUCCCAACGAAAACCAGAUCUUUUCCUGUGAUUUGCGGGUGGGGUUAUGUGUCUUGUUCCAGUUCUUCAGUCGUAUUAUUCAAACACGAGAUGACACAAUAAGAACGGCUGAAACUAAGUCUUAUUUAAAAAAUGUUGACAGUAUAUUUAUGUACGAAAUCGAUACAACUAAUCUCUUAUGUAGGUUAUAUCGAUUUAUAAAAGAUUUUUGUAACAGUUUUCCAAUACUUCCGGGUGAACGGGGACCGCGCCUCUUGUUCUUCCCAUUACCGAUGAUCAAGACGGGACGGGGGUGAAACAGGUGUACUGCACCCCAUCUAGGGGGCCUCAAAUUGUACCUUCGUAUAUUUAUAUCUCUUGUGUAUAACCUAAGUAACCCACUUUCUAUCGGACGACUGUUAAACAAAGAAAAUCUUUGUUGUAGCUCAAUCGAUUUCGGUAGCCAUCAUUACAUAUAUCGAAUAGUUACAUUGUGUAAAUAUUCAUAACCUAGAUUUUUACAUGUUAUUGUAUUGUCAACGAACGAUGCGACAAUUAGAAAAGCAGGAAGAGAACACCCCAUACACAUACAGUAUCGUGUGUGAAGACGUGUUCUCGGUUUGUAAUGUCUGUUAUAGUGUCGUGUUUACUUAAAAAAUAAAUCAGGUUCGUUAUGUUUGUAAAAAUAAAAGGGAAAGGCCGUCUUUGAUGCAAUGAUAACCAUCUGGAACUGGUGUUUUAGAAGUGAAGGCAGCACCUGUUACUUGCGGUCUUUGAAACUUGUAUGUGCAAGCCACACCUCUUUUCCUCUUCACUACACAAUUUUAAAAUUUUAAUAGAUUGUUUCAAGUCUCAAACGUCCAUUUGUGUAUCCGAAACGCUCUUUUAGAAAUUCGCAGCGAAAAAAAGGAGGGUAAUGGGGUGUGACCACAGAAAUGAUUGAUAGAACAGAGAGCUCACAGGAUUCUCUCUAUACAGUGUAUCGUUCUUUUGUUCAGUUUAAAGUAAACAAAAUUAUUUAUGACACUAGACUAGAACAUAGCGAGUUGCUUUUAUUGAAUGAGAGAAUUAAAAAAAAAAAUCCUAAUAAAUUAUACCGUACUGAGAGCGUUAAAAUUAAAAAUCGGUUAGUUCGGGCAUAUUAUUGUUGUUAUUAUGAAAGUGAAAUGGUAAAAAAAAAAUUGUUCUACUUUCUCCAACCUUGACGGUGACCUCUAGUUUCGCUUAUCGAGUAUUGAUGUCAAUGCCCAUGACGUGUUUCCGUUUAUAUAUAUAUAUAUUUUUUUAUUUUACCAGUUUGUAAUAUUAUCGUAUAAAUAAGCCUUUUUGAGACUUAUUCUUUAUUUUUCUUUUUUAAUAUAUUGAUUAUCGAAACCGAUCUUUGAGCU